rnacentral:rRNA from 1 species
UGUGCUGCCUGAAUAUACGCACGUGUAUGUGUAUGUGUGCCUUGCGCACCAUGCACAUCACAUCAUCAUAUCAUCACAACACACAUAUACACAAACUAGUAGUAUCUGUUGCUCAAAUGUAUCUUUCUUGAUUGUAAUGAUCAAGGCAAACAAAGUACAACUUAUAACAAUGGAUCUCUAGGCUCUUGCAUCGAUGAAGAACGCAGCCAAACGCGAAAUGUGUUAUGACUUGCAAUCUUCGCGAAUCAUUUAAUCUUUGAACGCAACUUGCACCUUCGGGCUUGACCCUUAGGUAUACUUGUUUGAGUAUCGUCUAUGCUCUCACCCAUACGGCAUGUGCUAGCGUGUGUGCUUGCACACACAACACACACAUGCUUGAUGAGUGGAUUUGAGGCUUAGGAUGAUGACACUUGUUGUCGCCCUUGCUUCUAAACGCAUGAUCUUGCUCCAAUGGACAAGUCUAGCCCGCGUCUCUUACGACACUGACACACGCGCCAGCGCAUGAUGCGGCACGCGGUCACUCUUCACUAGAUUCUCCGAGAUCACACACACAUUCACCGCCUGAACGACUUUAGGGAGGUGGCUUGCGUGUGAUUGACGAGCAAUUGACAGUUGAGUGGCAGCAGCGCAGCUUCAUGCGUGCAUGUGCGAGUGAA